rnacentral:rRNA from 1 species
UACAGAGGUGGCGAGCGUUGUUCGGAUUUACUGGGCGUAAAGGGUGCGUAGGCGGCUCCGUGUGUCGGAUGUGAAAUCCCACUGCUCAACGGUGGAACUGCAUUCGAAACUGCGGGGCUAGAGUACAGUAGGGGAGAGCGGAAUUCUUGGUGUAGCGGUGAAAUGCGUUGAUAUCAAGAAGAACACCGGUGGCGAAGGCGGCUCUCUGGAAUGUUACUGACGCUGAGGCACGAAAGCUGGGGGAGCAAACAGG